rnacentral:piRNA from 1 species
UGACCUCAACCUCAUAGAGAUCUGCCUUA